rnacentral:rRNA from 1 species
GUCUUUAAGAAAAUUAAUUUAAAGUCAAAUCUGCCCACUGAUUUAAAAUUAAAUGGCUGCAGAAUUAAUAACUGUACAAAGGUAGCAUAAUAAUUUGUUUUUUAAUUAAAAACUAGAAUGAAUGAUUUAAUGAAAUAUUAACUCUAUCAAAUAAAAAAAUUUAAUUUUUUAUUUAAGUAAAAAAACUUAAAUAUAUAAAAAAGACGACAAGACCCUAUAGAAUUUUAUUUUAUUUUAAAAAUAAAUAAUAUUUAUUAAUAAUUUUUUAAAAUUAAAUUUAAUUGGGGUAAUAAAAAAAUUAAAUAAAUUUUUUUAUAAAUUUAACAUAAAUUAAUGAAUAAAUAAUCUUAAAAUUUAAAUUAAUAAAAUUAAUUACCUUAGGGAUAACAGCAUAAUUUUUUUUAAAAGACCAUAUUUAUAAAAAAGAUUAU